CACGUAGUUGGCCGGACCUUCUUCUGCAGGUACCGUCAUUUUCGUUCCUGCUGAAAAGGGGUUUACAACCCGAGGGCCUUCAUCCCCCACGCGGCGUUGCUGCGUCAGGCUUUCGCCCAUUGCGCAAGAUUCCCUACUGCUGCCUCCCGUAGGAGUCUGGGCCGUGUCUCAGUCCCAGUGUGGCUGGUCGUCCUCUCAGACCAGCUACCCGUCGACGCCUUGGUAGGCCGUUACCCCACCAACUAGCUGAUAGGCCGCGAGGCCCUCCCGGUCCGCAAAAGCUUUCCUCGGUCGACGAUGUCGUCAUCCGAGCCCAUCUGGUAUUAGCAGCGGUUUCCCGCUGUUAUCCCAGAGAUCGGGGCAGGUUCCUCACGUGUUACUCACCCGUUCGCCACUAGGUCUUCACGAGUGUUGCCACUCGAUGGACCCCGUUCGACUUGCAUGUAUGAAGCACGCCGCCAGCGUCGUCCUGAGCCGAGGAUCAACUAC
rnacentral:rRNA from 1 species